rnacentral:rRNA from 1 species
AGCGAACGCUGGCGGCAGGCCUAACACAUGCAAGUCGAACGGAUCCUUCGGGAUUAGUGGCGGACGGGUGAGUAACACGUGGGAACGUGCCCUUUGGUUCGGAACAACUCAGGGAAACUUGAGCUAAUACCGGAUGUGCCCUUCGGGGGAAAGAUUUAUCGCCAUUGGAGCGGCCCGCGUCUGAUUAGCUAGUUGGUGAGGUAACGGCGCACCAAGGCGACGAUCAGUAGCUGGUCUGAGAGGAUGAUCAGCCACACUGGGACUGAGACACGGCCCAGACUCCUACGGGAGGCAGCAGUGGGGAAUCUUGCGCAAUGGGCGAAAGCCUGACGCAGCCAUGCCGCGUGAAUGAUGAAGGUCUUAGGAUUGUAAAAUUCUUUCAGCGGGGACGAUAAUGACGGUACCCUAAGAAGAAGCUCCGGCUAACUUCGUG